GCAGUCGAGCGGACAGAAGGGAGCUUGCUCCCGGAUGUUAGCGGCGGACGGGUGAGUAACACGUGGGUAACCUGCCUGUAAGACUGGGAUAACUCCGGGAAACCGGAGCUAAUACCGGAUAGUUCCUUGAACCGCAUGGUUCAAGGAUGAAAGACGGUUUCGGCUGUCACUUACAGAUGGACCCGCGGCGCAUUAGCUAGUUGGUGGGGUAAUGGCUCACCAAGGCGACGAUGCGUAGCCGACCUGAGAGGGUGAUCGGCCACACUGGGACUGAGACACGGCCCAGACUCCUACGGGAGGCAGCAGUAGGGAAUCUUCCGCAAUGGACGAAAGUCUGACGGAGCAACGCCGCGUGAGUGAUGAAGGUUUUCGGAUCGUAAAGCUCUGUUGUUAGGGAAGAACAAGUGCGAGAGUAACUGCUCGCACCUUGACGGUACCUAACCAGAAAGCCACGGCUAACUACGUGCCAGCAGCCGCGGUAAUACGUAGGUGGCAAGCGUUGUCCGGAAUUAUUGGGCGUAAAGGGCUCGCAGGCGGUUUCUUAAGUCUGAUGUGAAAGCCCCCGGCUCAACCGGGGAGGGUCAUUGGAAACUGGGAAACUUGAGUGCAGAAGAGGAGAGUGGAAUUCCACGUGUAGCGGUGAAAUGCGUAGAGAUGUGGAGGAACACCAGUGGCGAAGGCGACUCUCUGGUCUGUAACUGACGCUGAGGAGCGAAAGCGUGGGGAGCGAACAGGAUUAGAUACCCUGGUAGUCCACGCCGUAAACGAUGAGUGCUAAGUGUUAGGGGGUUUCCGCCCCUUAGUGCUGCAGCUAACGCAUUAAGCACUCCGCCUGGGGAGUACGGUCGCAAGACUGAAACUCAAAGGAAUUGACGGGGGCCCGCACAAGCGGUGGAGCAUGUGGUUUAAUUCGAAGCAACGCGAAGAACCUUACCAGGUCUUGACAUCCUCUGACAACCCUAGAGAUAGGGGUUUUCCUUUCGGGGACAGAGUGACAGGUGGNGCAUGGUUGUCGUCAGCUCGUGA
rnacentral:rRNA from 1 species